GCAAACGGUUUGAAAAUGUUUCAUGAUCGAUCUCUAACUCCUUGGCGAUCCUACAACUGCCAAUACGCCAGUGGACUUCGAUUAUUUCUGUGAUUUCAACGAUAUUUUCGAGAACAGUGAAGUCCAUCUCUAAUAUCAAAAAAACGUGAACAUAUCUGACGAAACCAAAAUGGCACGCCUUGCCAAUGAUGAAAUGUUUCUCAAGAACUGGGUUUAUUGCAUGUGAAUUGUCUCUGUCAAUAUAAUCCUCUCGAAAUUUUAAUGGAAAUGCUUUCCGUAAUUUUGAGGAGAAAACUCCGGAACGACAACCGCGCCCGGGAUCGGGAAAUGCAUUGAAACGACCUCCAAUUAAAUUUAUAUUUUAGUGGUAUAAUUGGAGCUGAGGUUUCUGUAAGUUCUUUCAUUUUUCCCAUUCAGCAAGAUGAGUAUGAGGCAACAUUAUUCCCGACACUUUAGAUAACCAGACCUAGCUUCUGUUCGAGACACUUCAGGGAUGUUCGUGUAAAGCUUCGCAAUUCACGGGAAAAUUGACGUGGAACGUAGCCAACAGGGACGAACGAGGAGACAACCGAAAAAAUUUGCAGAUAUCCGUAUGUUAUACUCCAAGACUCAAGAAUUUUAAAGGCCAGAAAAUUCAAACACAUAUUACGAAAAAAAUAUCGUUUAUUUCCUCGGGAGCAUGCAGAGGCCAGAAAAGAUGCUGGCUAUUCUAUGGUAUUUAUCGUCUUUUAUGUCCUCUACGUUUCAUAUAAAAUAUAUAAAUUCUUGAUCAUAUGGUACGUACAGAAAAUCACAUGUGCAGAGAAUUGUCUGAAAUAUUGUAACAGUACAAUGAAAAUCUGAGGCUGAAACGAUAGUUCAAAUCAAAAAAUAGGAAAAAAAUAUAAGCUCACUAUGGAUUAUAUACCUCUGGUACAACGUUUUGCUGUAAAUUUCGUGUUCUUAUUUACUGUAUAUAGAGUAAGCUUCUUCUGUAUUUUUCAUUUUAUGACAUAUUUAGAAUGCAAUUCGGGAGGUGUUUUCCAAAUGAUUCAAAAAUUAGUCAAUUUAACCAUAGUACUUGUAUUAACAUUUAUGCAUCUUGAAAAAGACGAAAUUCCUUUUCUGAUUUGAAAGAAUUAUCUGCAGCAUCUCUUUUCAAGAUGAUAAUUUAAAUGUUUUUUGUGAAACAGACCCAAUUUCUGAAAAUUUUUGACUUGUAAAGUAAACCUUGAUACGAUGAUCAAAUUAAGUUUGCUCAUUUAUAUUCUGACCAAUUGAUUCACUUGACUCAACGAAAUUUCUGAAUGCUUUAUGUAUAUAUUCGUUAUAUAUUUUGAAAUUUGUGAUACUUAUACAAAAGUUAUUAUUUAUACCUGUGAAUAUUUAGAUUUUAGACUCCAAAUGUGUAAUUUUGAAUAAGAAAUAUAUAUUUUGUCCAA